GACGAACGCUGGCGGCGUGCUUAACACAUGCAAGUCGAACGGGAAUGCCCUGCUUUUGUGGGGUGCUCGCGUUGCGAACGGGUGAGUUACACGUUAGUAACCUUCCCUUUCCCUUGUGAUAACUUCCGUAAACUGGGGCUUAUACCGGAUAGGAGUUCCUGUUGCAUGGUGUGGGGUGGAGAGUUCGGCGGUUUGGGAUGGAUUCGCGGGUUAUCAGCGUGUUGGUCGGUUAGUGGCUUAACAAGGCUUUGACGGGCAGCCGGCCUGAGGGGGUGACCGCCCAGAUUGAGACUGAGGUGCGGCACAGCAUCCGACGGGAGGGAACAGUGGGCAAUAUUCUACAAUGGCCGGAAGCCUGAUGCAACAACGACGCGCGGGGGAUGAAGGUUUUUCGGUGGUAAAGCGCGUUCGCCUCUGAGGAGGCGUGAGUAACGGUAACGGGUAAAGAAGCACCGGCUAACUACGUG
rnacentral:rRNA from 1 species